GUGCCAGCAGCCGCGGUAAUACGUAGGGGGCAAGCGUUGUCCGGAUUUAUUGGGCGUAAAGAGCUCGUAGGCGGCUCAGCAAGUCGGUCGUGAAAACCCGGGGCUCAACCCCGGGAGGCCGGUCGAUACUGCUGUGGCUAGGGUCCGGUAGAGGAGAGUGGAAUUCCCGGUGUAGCGGUGGAAUGCGCAGAUAUCGGGAGGAACACCAGUAGCGAAGGCGGCUCUCUGGGCCGGCACCGACGCUGAGGAGCGAAAGCUAGGGGAGCAAACAGGAUUAGAUACCCGCGUAGUCC
rnacentral:rRNA from 1 species